GCUUUAAUAGUUUAAAAAAAACAUUAUAUUGUGGAUAUAAAGAUACCAGAGUUUAAGGCA
rnacentral:tRNA from 1 species